rnacentral:rRNA from 1 species
UAAUAAAAACAUAGUUUUAAGAAACUAAUUAAGAUAAUUUYUGCUCAAUGAAAAAAUUUUUAUAAAUAGCUAUAGUAAUUUUUGACUAUACGAAGGUAGCAUAAUUAAUUGUUAUAUAAUUGAUAACUUGUUUGAAAGGAUAAAUUGAAAGAAAAAAAAUUUUAAAAUUUUAAUAAAAUUUUUAAUGUAAGUUAAAAUACUUAAAUAAGUGUAUAAGAUGAUAAGACCCUAAAAAUUUUAAAAUUUUUAAAAAAAAUAAUUUUUUUUUGGGAUAAAAUAAAUUUUAUAUAAAAUUUUUAAUAUAGGGACCAUUCUGGGGCUUAGUUGAAUUACUUUAGGGGUAACAGGAUAAAAUUUUAUUUUAGUACAAAUAAAAUAUAUUUUUUAUUACAUCGAUGUUGAAUUAUAAAAAUUAAAUUGAUGAAAUCAUCAAUAAAAAAAGUCUGUUCGACUAUUUUAUUUAUACAUGAUUUGAG